AGGGCGCGCUGCGCGAACGGCUCCCCGGUGACGGGGAUGAAAAGGGAAGUCGGGAUCGGCCACUGGCUGCAGCCCGCGCUGCCCCCGCAACUGUGAUCGGGGAAUGUCGCCCGAACUGGCCACUGGGUGCAGAUCCGGGAAGGCCGGGCGACAUGGUGAUCCGAGAGCCAGGAGACCUGCCGGUCGCCAGUCGAUCCA
rnacentral:ncRNA from 2 species